UACGUAGGGUGCAAGCGUUAUUCGGAAUUACUGGGCGUAAAGCGUGCGCAGGCGGCUAUGCAAGACAGAUGUGAAAUCCCCGGGCUCAACCUGGGAACUGCAUUUGUGACUGCAUGGCUAGAGUACGGUAGAGGGGGAUGGAAUUCCGCGUGUAGCGGUGAAAUGCGUAGAUAUGCGGAGGAACACCGAUGGCGAAGGCAAUCCCCUGGACCGGUACUGACGCUCAGGCACGAAAGCGUGGGGAGCAAACAGG
rnacentral:rRNA from 1 species